rnacentral:rRNA from 1 species
ACCUGUGCCAGCAGCCGCGGUAAGACAGGGGAUGCAAGCGUUACUCGGAAUUACUGGGCGUAAAGCGUCUGUAGGUGUCUGAAAAAGUCUGGGGUUAAAGUUCGGAGCUCAACUCCGUGAUCGUCCCGGAAACUCUUCAGAUUGAGUCAUCCAGAGGCACCUGGAAUGCCAUAAGUAGGGGUAAAAUCCGUAGAUAUAUGGUAGAACGCCAAAAGCGAAGGCAGGGUGCUGGGGAUGUACUGACACUGAGAGACGAAAGCGUGGGGAGCAAAGGGGAUUAGAUACCCCCGUAGUCCACGCCCUAAACGAUGCGUGCUCGAUGUGGGAGAUUUUCAAUUGUCUUCCGUGUCUAAGCUAACGCGGUAAGCACGCCGCCUGGGAAGUACGGUCGCAAGACUAAAACUCAAAGGAAUAGACGGGGACCCACACAAGCGGUGGAGCAUGGGGUUUAAUUCGAUAAUAAGCGAAGCACCUCACCCAGGUUUGACAUCUUAGGAAUCCCGCGGAAACGCGGGAGUGCCGCAAGGAACCUAAAGACAGGCGCUGCACGGUCGUCGUCAGCUCGUGCCUUGAGGUGUGUUGUUCAGUCAAUGAACGAGCGCAACCCUCGUCCUGUGUUGUAUUUUUCACAGGAGACUGCCGGCUCCAAGCCGGAGGAAGGUGAGGAUGACGUCAGAUCAGCGUGGCCCUUAUACCUGGGGCAACACCCGUGCUACAAUGGUUGGUACAGAGCGCAGCAAACUCGCAAGAGCAAGCCAAUCGCACAAAACCAAUCUCAGUCCGGAUUGAAGUCUGCAACUCGACUUCAUGAAGUUGGAAUCGCUAGUAACCGUGAAUCAGCUACGUCACGGUGAAUAUGUUCCUGGGUCUUGUACUCACCGCCCGUCAAGUCAUGAAAGGCAGGGGCACCUGAAGCACCCUUACCGUAAGGGGGGUACCACGGUGAAACUGCUGAUUGGGACUAAGUCGUAACAAGGUAAC